rnacentral:rRNA from 1 species
UACGGGAGGCAGCAGUGGGGAAUAUUGGACAAUGGGCGAAAGCCUGAUCCAGCCAUGCCGCGUGUGUGAAGAAGGUCUUCGGAUUGUAAAGCACUUUAAGUUGGGAGGAAGGGCAUUAACCUAAUACGUUAGUGUUUUGACGUUACCGACAGAAUAAGCACCGGCUAACUCUGUGCCAGAGCCCGCGGUAAUACAGAGGGUGCAAGCGUUAAUCGGAAUUACUGGGCGUAAAGCGCGCGUAGGUGGUUUGUUAAGUUGGAUGUGAAAUCCCCGGGCUCAACCUGGGAACUGCAUUCCAAACUGACUGACUAGAGUAUGGUAGAGGGUGGUGGAAUUUCCUGUGUAGCGGUGAAAUGCGUAGAUAUAGGAAGGAACACCAGUGGCGAAGGCGACCACCUGGACUAAUACUGACACUGAGGUGCGAAAGCGUGGGAGCAAACAGGAUUAGAUACCCUGGUAGUCCACGCCGUAAACGAUGUCAACUAGCCGUUGGAAGCCUUGAGCUUUUAGUGGCGCAGCUAACGCAUUAAGUUGACCGCCUGGGGAGUACGGCCGCAAGGUUAAAACUCAAAUGAAUUGACGGGGGCCCGCACAAGCGGUGGAGCAUGUGGUUUAAUUCGAAGCAACGCGAAGAACCUUACCAGGCCUUGACAUCCAAUGAACUUUCUAGAGAUAGAUUGGUGCCUUCGGGAACAUUGAGACAGGUGCUGCAUGGCUGUCGUCAGCUCGUGUCGUGAGAUGUUGGGUUAAGUCCCGUAACGAGCGCAACCCUUGUCCUUAGUUACCAGCACGUAAUGGUGGGCACUCUAAGGAGACUGCCGGUGACAAAC